rnacentral:siRNA from 1 species
AGUAAAGCCAUGAUGAGGGCAUUG